UACGUAGGGGGCAAGCGUUGUCCGGAAUCAUUGGGCGUAAAGGGCUCGUAGGCGGCUUGGCAAGUCGGGUGUGAAAACUCCAGGCUCAACCUGGAGACGCCACUCGAUACUGUUAUGGCUUGAGUCUGGUAGGGGAUCACGGAAUUCCUGGUGUAGCGGUGAAAUGCGCAGAUAUCAGGAGGAACACCCGUAGCGAAGGCGGCACUCUGGGCCGAUUCUGACACUGAGGAGCGAAAGCGUGGGGAGCGAACAGG
rnacentral:rRNA from 1 species